GAUGAACGCUGGCGGCGUGCCUAAUACAUGCAAGUCGAGCGAACGGACGAGAAGCUUGCUUCUCUGAUGUUAGCGGCGGACGGGUGAGUAACACGUGGAUAACCGACCUAUAAGACUGGGAUAACUUCGGGAAACCGGAGCUAAUACCGGAUAAUAUUUUGAACCGGAUGGUUCAAAAGUGAAAGACGGUCUUGCUGUCACUAAUAGAUGGAUCCGCGCUGCAUUAGCUAGUUGGUAAGGUAACGGCUUACCAAGGCAACGAUGCAUAGCCGACCUGAGAGGGUGAUCGGCCACACUGGAACUGAGACACGGUCCAGACUCCUACGGGAGGCAGCAGUAGGGAAUCUUCCGCAAUGGGCGAAAGCCUGACGGAGCAACGCCGCGUGAGUGAUGAAGGUCUUCGGAUCGUAAAGCUCUGUUAUUAGGGAAGAACAUAUGUGUAAGUAACUGUGCACAUCUUGACGGUACCUAAUCAGAAAGCCACGGCUAACUACGUG
rnacentral:rRNA from 1 species